GAUGAACGCUGGCGGCGUGCCUAAUACAUGCAAGUAGAACGCUGAAGGAGGAGCUUGCUCUUUCCGGAUGAGUUGCGAACGGGUGAGUAACGCGUAGGUAACCUGCCUGGUAGCGGGGGAUAACUAUUGGAAACGAUAGCUAAUACCGCAUAACAGUAGAUAUUGCAUGAUAUUUGCUUGAAAGGGGCAAUUGCUCCACUACCAGAUGGACCUGCGUUGUAUUAGCUAGUUGGUGAGGUAACGGCUCAUCAAGGCGACGAUACAUAGCCGACCUGAGAGGGUGAUCGGCCACACUGGGACUGAGACACGGCCCAGACUCCUACGGGAGGCAGCAGUAGGGAAUCUUCGGCAAUGGACGGAAGUCUGACCGAGCAACGCCGCGUGAGUGAAGAAGGUUUUCGGAUCGUAAAGCUCUGUUGUAAGAGAAGAACGAGUGUGAGAGUGGAAAGUUCACACUGUGACGGUAUCUUACCAGAAAGGGACGGCUAACUACGUG
rnacentral:rRNA from 1 species